rnacentral:lncRNA from 1 species
CGCUGAUCUCCGAGAAUUACGACUUACUACCAUGUACUAGAACCGUAACCAGUAAGUAGCUCAUGCAAGUGAAGUCUAGGAAACCAUGUUCCUUCGCACAUUGAUUAGUGCCGUACUGACCUUUUUGUCUGGCUUGCCCGUUUGUAAUGUAAGCUGCCCGUAGUAUAUCAACCAACCAACGCAAUUCCAUUAUUUAAGCUCUCGUCAUUGGCCGGCCAUAACUUCUCAUGGAUGCUCUGGAUUUGCUGCGAUCGCGAUGUAUUGGUAAUUUCCUUAUUUGACUGUCUGUUGCGAGGCACUUGUCCGAGUACAUGCGGACCAGUAGUAUAGCAAAAAGGGCAGCUUGUGCAUGGUUUGGGAAAUGGUCCGAGUACGCAGCGUUUUCCUACAUUUAUGCAAGACCCGUGACCUCAUGGUCAUAAGGCAACGACUGUACUGCUGCGCCAUGGCUCCCCUUCACCAGUAGUAUAGUAGUCAGUUACCUUCACCAGUAGUAUAGUAGUCAGUUAGAAAAAAAUGUGCUAGUCUCUCUUCUGUCAUUGUUCUUUAGUUAACUGUAUUUCAACCAUUGGAUCGGCAUCGGCCGGCUACAGAGAAGACGCGAAGUAGUACGACAGCUCCUUAAGUUGAUCAAGGGCAGUUGUCUAAUCUUCAUGUAGCGUCUGAGAUUCAACUGCGCAGCUGGCUCCUUAACUGUAAUCGAGCAUGUCUCGUUGUCAUUCUUACUUUUACAUUCAGUAACUUUCCCCCCUUUAUAUAGCUAUAGAGGAGUCCCUCGUAAUCGGGUUGUAACGUGUUUGAGAUCAAACUAUCCUCUUUGCAUUAGAUGAAGUGCUAUAUAUAGCACUGGAACAGGCAUAUUACAAGGGGGCGUCGGUUCCGUCCGAACCGACGCAAGGAUUGCAGAAAGCAACCGUCAUUACAAGCGGGGAUUAAUCUCUUAAUUACUAUGUUAAUUAAUCUUAACAGUAAACCCUAGCCGCCACUGGAGUGGUUCGCGACACUUUCCUCUUUCAACAAGAACCCUAGCUCGAUUCGGGGCUAGUUUCUUCUGAAUUCUCUGUGUGAGAUGUUUUGAAGUUGCAAGAGCUUGAAAAACGUUAGCUAGGAGUAACUCACAGUUUAGAGGGUCAGAUCUGUCCACUAAGAGUGGUCACGUAAAAGUCCUCGACCAUAUCUAUCCUCAUUUAUCUGCAUCCGCGACCACCCCCUCCCCUCAUAUCCAAACCCGCAAAAGUGUGCAAUCCCAUGCAAUGUAGACAACACGACGUAGCUAUUUUAACACAUAUGAUAGCAUCGUAGCUAAAUAUGGUAGCAUCAAACAUAGCAAGUUCCUUACAAGUUCACAAAAGAUUAGAUAGUUCGAUAAAUUAGCUAUGAUCUACAACAAAUACGAUUAGAAAGGUGUCAGAGCACCACUUCCUCAUCGGACCCAUCCCCUUUGUGUCUUCAGAGCAAUGGUAGUAGUCCUCGACGUAUGCGUAAGCCGUCGGAGGGGCGUCGUCAUUGAUGGUGGUGCUGCCGUCAUACGAGGAGUAUGACAAGGAGGAGAGCCUGGCCAGACGCUGAGAGGUGUGGGCCUGCUCCUUCGUGAACUGCCCGGACUCCUCGAGCCUGAGCCGCAAUGUCUUGGCAUUUUCACGGAGGCGACGACGGGCGUCCAUCUCUGCUGUGGUCAAUGACUGGCAGAUGAUGCCACAAAGGAGCUCCUCCUCUGAGUCGUAAGGCAGGGCAACCGACACGCUACACGACCCACAGUCGAACCGGCUAGAUACAGGCUACGCCAUCUGCCUCGCGCGACGGGCUGCCUGUGCCUCUGACUUGGGGAGCCGCGACCACGGGCUAGGCGGGGUUGGAUCCAUCGGGCGACCGGGGAAUGCGCAGAGGAUGAAGAGGAGGAGCUACCCCUACCCACCCACGGCCGGUCGAUGGCAACCCGGAUUGCGUGCUCCUCGUUUGACUCUGCCGUGAAGGUGUCUCAGUNNNNNNNNNNNNNNNNNNNNNNNNNNNNNNNNNNNNNNNNNNNNNNNNNNNNNNNNNNNNNNNNNNNNNNNNNNNNNNNNNNNNNNNNNNNNNNNNNNNNNNNNNNNNNNNNNNNNNNNNNNNNNNNNNNNNNNNNNNNNNNNNNNNNNNNNNNNNNNNNNNNNNNNNNNNNNNNNNNNNNNNNNNNNNNNNNNNNNNNNNNNNNNNNNNNNNNNNNNNNNNNNNNNNNNNNNNNNNNNNNNNNNNNNNNNNNNNNNNNNNNNNNNNNNNNNNNNNNNNNNNNNNNNNNNNNNNNNNNNNNNNNNNNNNNNNNNNNNNNNNNNNNNNNNNNNNNNNNNNNNNGAGGAGGAAGGUGGGGAAAGUGGAAGUGGUUAGGGUUUGGUCUUGGUGGGAUUUUUUCGGGGUCAAGGUGGGGUAGAGUGGGUCAGAUCGUACAUGGCCGUCGUGCCCGGACCAUCCCAAUCGUAUAUGAGGGGAGGGAGGGGGUCUGGUUGUAGAUGCUCUUAGUAAUGCACACUCGUGUGGCUUUUGAAGCAUCAUACCUGAUAUGUUAAUUGACGCGUGAGCUCCAUUGACCGGUUCUUGUCUUUCUUGUACUUGAGUAGGUGUAGUUGCAUGACCUUUAGGUGUAGCCGUGGUAGAAAUGUCCUCAUUAAUGAUGGAGUGUUGGAGCGAAAGACAUAGCAGAAGGAAAUGAUGAUACUUUUACCAUGCAAAGAAAAUACCAUGCAUGUGUAUCUACAAUUCGCCUUUACUUUGAGUUUCGUGCUAUAUUUUAUUUUUUUUGAUAAAACUAAUCUUGUUUCCGGGUACACAAUGUUUUGUUAGUUUAAAGUGUACCAACAAAAACAAAUGCAUUUGUUUGAGACUGAACUAUCUUUUUGCUUUUUGUAUUUUAUCCAUUAUCUUUUUUUUUUGCGGGUGUAUUUUAUCCAUUAUCUAUUCUCUCACCACCUAAUUUAAAGCAGCCUAGAUCAAUUUCACAAACGUGAAGUUGCUUACCACACAUACCGUGUGGUUGUUUGAGACUGAACUUACUGGUACACAACGAAAUGUUAGAAAGCAUCGGUCCUCUUAUGUUCUGUCUUCUAUGGUUUACAAUUUGCCAAACCUAGAAAACGUGAGCACGGAUCUCAAACACAACACUGGUCGGUGGAUCAAUGCAUGGAGUAUAUUUUAUCCCAUGCAAUUGCAAUGUCAUUUCUCUCCCCGCCAAGACAUAAAUCAUUUCUGGGCGGAAGUAAGUAAACGAGGAUGAUAGUAGUACGAGUAGUACAAGUCUGGCGGGCGGGAGAGAGAAGGUCCUUUUGCUUUUCUCGUGAAGCAAAAUGACCAUCGAGGUCCACUGCAACCAGUACCCAUAUAGUAUAUCUGUGUACCAUUCUCCGAAGAAUCACACCAGCAGCAGCACUACAGUCCAAUUAUCGAGCCGGCGGGCUACCCAUCCUUGACUAGACCGGAGGUGCCGUGACUUGAUCUACCUUGGCGUACCAUGCAUACGUACAACAAAUGGUGCCGAUCCGUCUGCCGCCCUGAUUGUCCCGUUCGUGGCGUCGAGAAGCGCAGGCCCUUGUUGACCGGUCGCUCGUGAACUGUUGACGCGGAGCGGUGCACCGAGGGGGACGGCAGUGGAGACGUGACCUGUUAGACUCCUCGAACGUACUCCCUCCGUUCGGAAUUACUCGUCCAAGAAAUGAAUGUAUCUAGAUGUAUUUUAGUUGUAGAUACAUCCAUUUUUGUGGCAAGUAAUUCCAAACGGAGGGAGCACGUACGCACUACUUACUUCCUAGCGACGGAACCAGGGUGCAUGACGGCACGUGGUGUGAGUGAGCCGGUCCGUCGCGGCGACGACGAGCCGCUGACCAAUGGAGCAGUAUGCAACUCCAAAUGCAUCUGUAAGACGUGCAUUUGCGACUUUCUCAAACACUAUAUAUGCUGCAUUCUAUACAGGUAUAUGUAUUUUUUUUUUCAAAUUUACUGAGACACACAAAAAAAAAAAUACUCACCCCUCAAUGUCCCGCCACAAAUGCAUGUUUUUUUUUAAUUGAAGGUGUUUCCCGUCUCAACUUUUUAUUAAAAGAUCCAAGGCCAAGUAUCGCACAUCAAAAAACAUUUCACAGCUCUCGGUCACGACAUAGAGUAGCUACGACAGAUUAUUACAAACAUGAAGGAAUUUAUAGUCUCGGGCUAAGAUAGAUAGACCCACAGGCGGAGCUCCCGGUAGGGCGAGGUUGGGCGCUCGCCCUACCUUGAUUUUUGGCGUUUCUGUUUUGUGUAUACCUAUAUAUAACGUGAUCGAUCGCUAAAAAAUAGAACGGCUUAAAAAUCAGCGUCAAACGUUUUGUCGGGCCGUGAUUACCCAACCAACUGGGCCGUAGCAAGUAGCAGGCCCCGACGCCUCGCUCGAUCCACUCUAACGAUCGUCCCCACGCCAGCUCCAGGAUCCAGAGUCGAGCGACUCCGCUUCUAGUCGACACACAAACCCUAGCAGGAAAAGGGGCGAGCUCGCACGUUCGCGGCGGCCAACCAAGCGCGCGCGUGAGGCCAACGGCCAGAAGGAGCGCGCAUGCAGACGUGGUCGUGUACUCAUGUUUCCGGCGACCAGCAGCACACUGUGCGCGUGAGGCCGGUGGCCAGUAGGAGACCAUGAACGGGAAGGGAAUAUGGCUAGCAAAGAUACUGAACAUAGGUAAUGCGGUUUUGAAUUUUAGUGUCAUUUGUUAGAUAAUGGUUUGAUAAUCUACAUAUAAUGAUUGGUGGCAUUUUUUGUGACGAAUUGCAUAUUUGAAAAUAAAAUUUUCUGGUAGUUGUUAGCCACAUCAAAAAUACACUCUCCGUUCAUAAAUGUAUAAGAUAUUUGGAUUUUUAAACAUAGACUACAUACGUACUGUAAUGACAUUAAAUAUAUCUACAUACAUUCAAUUCAAGAAAAAGCUACUAGAACAUCUUAUAUAUGUGAAUGGAUGGAGUAUGCUUAAGAGUUCGCCCCACCUUAAAAAUAAUCUGUCCUCCGCCACUGGAUAGACCAGUGCCAGGCUAUCCUAAGCAGCACCCUACAGCGAUGACCAGGCAGCCGGAGACACUGAAGAAGCCGCGUAGCUUGGGCACCGACGCAGAGCACCUCCCAAAGUCAAACCAGCGCGGCUACCGAAGCCAGGGUGAAUUUCAUACUUCGCCACCUUCGACCCUGUAAGACAAAAUUAUAGCGAAAACGCCAUAAGCCCCACAAGGUAGCAACAGUAAAGAUGGUAACAACUUCAUAUAUUUCCUUUCCUUUUAGAAAGGAACUAGGUCAUCAAAAGAACAGGGAAUUGAGAUAUUAGGAAUAUCAGCAAUCACAUUCCAAAUAUUUUUUUUUUGCAACAAUGCAAACGGAAGAUAGAUGAUGCCUAUGUUUAGCCAAGUUGUCUCAAGUGGACUCUUGUUAUUAAUAACGAGCCGCAAGAAAGCAUGUAUAUUAGAAGGAACCUCAAUCUUCCAAAUAGCAUCUUCCAGUUUAGAAGAGGAACCCAAUAUUGGGAUCUAACUGAGUAGGAACCAGAAGGUUCAAGCAACCAAAUGUGAGCAUCACUACCGGAGUUACAAUGUUUACCAAAUUAAGCAAAUCAAACAACUGACCCAUGAGCACUUCAUCAACACAUCUCCUAAAGGAUAACUUAAGAGAAGUACCAUCCCACACCGGGCAACAUAAGCAUUUUAUUGAUAAUAAAUCGCAAAUAGAUCCCAAAAUUGGGUUUUCAGAUAAACAUCAACAAGCCAAAUGUCAUGCCAAAAGGAGAUACUUUGCCCAUCAACAAUCUUCCACUUGUAAAAUCUUUUUUGCAGAAGCGAAAGCCCAUGAGUCACUUUUUCAAAAAGGAGACCCCUGUCUAGGCUUGGCCGACAAAAUGUUAGGUUUGUCAGUAACAUACUUAUAUUCCAGAAGUUUUUUUCCAAUCACUAGCCCUACCAUCAAACAAUCUCUUACUCCAAAAGGCUAACAUUGCCAAAUAAAAAUCUCUAAGAUUAGAGACACCCAUACCCCCAUUUUUUUCUUGUAGAUUAAACCCCAACUAGCAAGAUGGUACUCAUAAUCAUUGCCCAAUUUGCCCCAGAAGAAAUGGGACAUUUGGGAAGUGAUGGCAUCAAUGGCCCACUUAGGAAACUUCAUGAUAGACAUCAGGUAAGUAGGAAUACUAGCAAUGCACAUGGUGAGGAGAAUAAGUUUACCCUAUAGGAAAGAUUCCUGCCCAACCAACCGAAGUUGUUUUCAAUAAUUAUGUCAAUAGUAGGUUGUAUGUCUUUCCUCUAAGUUUUCUAAAAUGCAGAGGCACACCCCAGUAUUUAAAAGGGAAGGAGCUAAAAAAUACACGCCUGGUGUCCGCUUCCUCCUCCCCUCCCCUCCCGGUCGCUCCCGCGAGCGACGCAGAGGGGAAACCCUAGCCGCCGGCCGCAGGCCCCCCUCCUCCUCGACUCCUCCCUCGCCGCCGCCGGCUCGCGCUGACGGGCGAAGCCCGGUCAGCCUCGGCGGCGGCGGGGCCUUCCUUCCCCUGCUCGCUAGGGCCGACGCGGGUCGGGGUCAGCGGGCGGCGGCGUUGCGCUGGCCGAGGGCGUGAUGACGCGGCGGCGGGCGGCGGUGGCGNNNNNNNNNNNNNNNNNNNNNNNNNNNNNNNNNNNNNNNNNNNNNNNNNNNNNNNNNNNNNNNNNNNNNNNNNNNNNNNNNNNNNNNNNNNNNNNNNNNNNNNNNNNNNNNNNNNNNNNNNNNNNNNNNNNNNNNNNNNNNNNNNNNNNNNNNNNNNNNNNNNNNNNNNNNNNNNNNNNNNNNNNNNNNNNNNNNNNNNNNNNNNNNNNNNNNNNNNNNNNNNNNNNNNNNNNNNNNNNNNNNNNNNNNNNNNNNNNNNNNNNNNNNNNNNNNNNNNNNNNNNNNNNNNNNNNNNNNNNNNNNNNNNNNNNNNNNNNNNNNNNNNNNNNNNNNNNNNNNNNNNNNNNNNNNNNNNNNNNNNNNNNNNNNNNNNNNNNNNNNNNNNNNNNNNNNNNNNNNNNNNNNNNNNNNNNNNNNNNNNNNNNNNNNNNNNNNNNNNNNNNNNNNNNNNNUGCCUGGCGGCGGCGAGAUGGGCUCGGUGGUGUUCUGCUCCGCGCGGUUGCGCCUGGCGUGGUGGCGGCGGCCACUGGUGGAGCGCGUCGGCCCCCUUCAGCGGGUGGCUGAUGCAGAUGCGGGGAGCGCCGCUCCUGGCCGUGUGGGCGGCGGAUCGGCGGCGAGCGUGGCUGGCUCCUGGGGCUUCCCUGUUUGCCCUUGGUGCAAAUCUGGCGAUGGUGCUUCCUCUCGGGGGGAUGGAUUGGGGGAAACCCUUGGCUGUUCGCUGCGGCCACGAUGCCGGCGGCGCUCCGGCGUCGUUCCCCUUCUUGAAGGCAGCUUCGCAAUCCCCCCCUCGCCCUCCCUUCCUCGUCCCGGGUGAAAGCCCCAAAUCUUCGGAUUGGGUGGUGACGGCGCUCCGGCGUCGUUUUUCUUCUUGAAGACACCACCUUGGAGCGGCGGAGUGGUGGUCGAGGCUUUGGCACGGGAGGUGGCUGCCGGAUAUCGCCAGUGGUGUCCAUGCUCGGCCACUUGCGGUUGAAGUUGGCGCCGGUGCGCGGCGUUGGCGAUGCUUGGUGGUGCGGCUGCCUGGUGCGGUAGUCGUGCUUGUCGCCCCCUCCCGGCAACCUGUUGGUCCUGGUCAUGCGAGCUCAGGGGUGAGCGACUCUGCCUGUCGACGGCGUAGUGUCCUCCGAUCCAGGACUAGAGGGCAGGGGGCUCUCUUCGAAGGUAGAGACGGAUGGCGGACCAGAUGGCUUGGCUCAAGAGGGAUGACGGAGCGUGACAAUCCUCCUGUAGCGGGAUCUACCUCGGCUUAGUCGCGGCGUGUGUUGGCUCCUGUUCGCCGAGGGCUUCGAUGUUCAAGCUUGUGCUUGGUGCAUUCGAAUCUUGUUAGUGGCUCCUUUGGUAUCUUGUAUCUUUGCCGUUUAUGGUUUUUUUAUUCCUUUCUUUUGUAUCGUUGAACUUGUGACUCGGUGGGUGCUUUAUAAUAUAAAGCGGGGGGAAACCCUUUUUCGGUUAAAGGGAAGGAGGCAAGUUUUUUUCCGAGAAAACAUCCAGUCCAUUCAUCAUCAAUCAUGAUAGUACAACGAAUAUCAGAAAUAAUAAAAAUUAUAUCUAGAUCCCUAGACCACCUAGCGGCGACUACAAGCACUGAAGCGAGCCGAAGGCGCGCCGCCGUCAUUGCCCAUCCCUUCCUGGAGCCGCGCAAAACUUGUUGUAAUAGACAAUCAGGAAGCCGUUGUGCUAAGGCCCUAUAGGACCAGCACAUCAGAACAACAAUCGUCGCCGUUGAAGGGAAAAUUAGAUCAAAAGGAUCCAACCCGUAGACACACGAACACACAUGAACAAAGACCGAGUCCAUUAGGAUCCACCGAAGACAAAUGCCGACCGAAUCCUGCAAGAUCCGCUGGAGCAAAACCUCCACACGCCCCCCGAUGACACUAGAAGCACCACCGAAAUGGGGCUAGAUGGGAAGAAUCUUAUUCCAUCAUCAGAGAGCUGCCGCCGCCUCAUCUCUCUGAGCAGAACACAAACUCUAAAAAAACUUAAAAAACAUAAAAAAACCGAAGCCCUCUCGCCGACAAGGGCCGAGAUCCACCAUACCUGCAUGGCCCAAAGACCACAGGAGACGAGGUAGGCCGGCAUCGGCGGGAGACCGGAUGAACCCUAGCGCAGCUGGCUACGAGGGGAGUUAGCCUUAGCGGCAAAUAUUUUUUCGCCGGGGAAGGAGCCAAGUUGACAACACAAAAUCUGAGCAAAGCAACUAGCUACAUCAUCAUCUACAUGAAUAGCGUGAGGGUCACUUUUGUGAAAAUUAAUUUUAAUCCCAGAGGAUUAAUUUUCGUCACAAUGCAUGUUUGAGAAUCAUUUCGUUCUAGUAAUGUGAAAUCAAGAGAGUGGCUAGCCAACGUCACAAACAAGCAUCCCCUAACCGAUGUUUACCUGCUGCCACCGUCACACGGCCGGCCUGCCCGCCGGCUUGAAAGUCCAGUUCCCUGAUCUCCGUACAGAAUCCCUCCUAUCCACCGGUGGACGGCCACGGGUGGACGCCGCGUCUGGGCUGGACGGUAGCGUCCGUCCGACAGAGGCGACCUGAACGGGUCAAGCCGUUCAUGCGCUGGGCGGGUCAAACCAUGCACGCUCGAGCCUAGACCGACUAGAGAGUAGUAGAGCCGAACGACAAGGACCCAUGCGAUUCCACGCCCGCCACCCUGGUACGUGGUCGUAUUCUCGAUCACGACGCCCUAAUCGCGCCACUAAACCGCGUGUUCGCCGGCAAGCCGACGGCGCGGGAGCGCGGGCAUAUAUAGUUCGUGCCCCGGCACCUUCUCCUCAGACAGUCCGUCAGUCAGUCAUCAGCCACUGACGAAGCCAUUUCCAAUCCUCUCGUGCGCAUCUUCCACGGGAGCAUCAGCAAAGCAAGAAUAAAGGCAGCUAGCAGGACGAACAACGGCAGCGGCUGAAGGAGGAGGAGGAGGGGCCGAUGGAGAUCGUGAGGAUGGGGAGCUCGGCGGGAGGCGGGAGCGGCGUGCGGCGGACGGCGUCGUCGUGGCGGGGGGCGUCGGGGAGGAGCGACGCCUUCGGGCGGUCGGCCAGGGAGGAGGACGACGAGGAGGCGCUGCGCUGGGCGGCCAUCGAGAAGCUCCCCACGUACGACCGCAUGCGCAAGGGCAUCCUGCUCCCGGGCGCCGUCGGCGCCGGGCAGGAGGUGGACAUCCAGGGGCUCGGCCUCAACGAGAGGAAGAACCUCAUCGAGCGCCUCAUACGCACCGCCGAGGAGGACAACGAGCGCUUCCUCCUCAAGCUCCGCGACCGGAUGGAGCGGUGCGUCUCACUUCAAUUCAUCACCUCACUUCUCUAGCUCUGUUCAUCCAUUUCUCCCUCGGCACGACAGGCGCUGAUGUUUCAUGUGCUUGGCAGGGUUGGCAUCGAGAACCCGACUAUCGAGGUGCGGUUCCAGAACCUCAACAUCGACGCCGAGGCCUACGUCGGCAACCGGGGAAUCCCGACGUUCAUCAACUUCUUCUCCAACAAAAUCAUGGUAUGCAUCUUUGCCACAGCAGCUUCAUGAUCCUUCUUCAGUCAUGGAAUGGGAAAACCGAACAAAGUUCACGCUGGGCGGUUCCGACUUCAGCUUCUGAUCCUUGUUUGUUUCAAUCCUUCAGAAUGUGCUGAGUGCUCUGCGCAUCGUGUCAAGCGGGAAGAGGCCCAUCUCUAUCAUCCAUGACAUCAGCGGAAUCGUAAGACCCGGCAGGUGAGCGAGAGAUCACGGACCUGUUUGUUUUGCAUCAUCUCACAGUUCUUUCCAUGUUUUAAUCUUGUGGAGUUCCUUCAGGAUGUCCUUGUUGCUUGGCCCCCCUGGGUCUGGAAAAACUAGUCUACUCCUGGCCCUGGCAGGGAAGCUCGACUCAACUCUCAAGGUACCACAUCUUCACAUCCUUUAGUGAUUUUGAGUACUCUGUUUUUUCGUUCGAUACAGAAAUUUGCAAUAUGGUCAGGGAAGAUAUAGAGAUGUAAGCUGUAACAUGAUGAAUUUAAAAUUGGAAAUGUUCAGGUGUCAGGGAGAGUGACUUACAACGGGCAUGACAUGCAUGAAUUUGUCCCCCAGAGGACAUCAGCGUACAUCGGGCAGCACGAUCUUCACAUCGGCGAAAUGACGGUGAGGGAGACGCUGGCCUUCUCUGCGAGAUGUCAAGGAGUCGGAACCCGUUACGGUAGGUGACAUGGGAGCUGGAAAAAGGGAUAUCUAGCUAUUCACAAAUUGUAAAGUGAUUCUUAUCGUGGUUUCAAAUUGCAGACAUGCUUACUGAACUCUCAAGAAGGGAGAAAGAAGCCAACAUCAAGCCAGAUCCUGACAUUGAUGUCUACAUGAAGGUGAGCUGUUAUUCCAUAUGGAUCAAAACCCCAGCUUAUUUAGAAGUAACAAUAUUUGCCUUUUUGAAGAGAAUCGAAAUAACUAGAAUUACUAAGUUAUUCUGCUCCUCUGUCCAAACAGGCCAUCUCUGUGGAAGGUCAAGAGAGUGUGAUCACAGAUUACAUCCUCAAAGUGAGCACCAUACAUAACAUGAAAAAUAAGCCAAACAAAUGCAUAUGCCCCUGACACACUUGCCUCCGUCGUGCAGAUUUUGGGUCUGGAAAUCUGUGCAGAUACAAUGGUCGGCGACGGUAUGAUCAGGGGCAUCUCAGGUGGACAAAAGAAGCGUGUCACCACAGGUAUAUGCAAUAUGCAGUGAAGGAAAUAAAUGUGCAUAAUGAUGCCCUUUUGAUUAUGACAGUGAAAUCAGAUCUCUAAAAUUAUUGAAUUUAAAUAGGCGAGAUGCUUGUUGGACCAGCAAAGGCACUGUUUAUGGAUGAAAUCUCCACCGGUCUGGACAGCUCCACAACAUACCAGAUCAUCAACUCCCUCAGGCAAUCUGUCCACAUCCUCGGUGGCACGGCGUUGAUCGCGUUGCUUCAGCCUGCGCCUGAAACAUACGAGCUCUUUGAUGACAUUGUUCUGCUCACCGAGGGGAAAAUCGUGUACCAGGGUCCUCGAGAAAGUGUCCUUGAGUUCUUUGAGGCCGUCGGAUUCAGAUGCCCUGAGAGGAAAGGCGUUGCAGACUUCUUGCAAGAAGUAUGUGAUACACAGGAGUUCUCUGUGCUGCAUUUUUUUUUUGAAAGAAACUCUCUAUGCUACAUGUUAGGACUAGGAACUCAAAUUUGACAUUUUCCAUUGUGAAUUCACAGGUAACAUCUAGGAAGGAUCAGCACCAGUACUGGUACCGAAAUGACGAGCCAUACCGAUACAUCUCGGUCAACGACUUCACGGAGGCAUUCAAAGCGUUCCAUGUUGGCCGCAAGAUGGGCUCGGAGCUCAGGGUGCCGUUCGAUCGAACCAGGAACCACCCUGCUGCGCUCACGACUUCCAAGUUCGGUAUCAGCAAGAUGGAGCUUCUUAAGGCAUGCGUCUCUAGGGAGUGGCUGCUGAUGAAGAGGAACUCGUUUGUUUACAUCUUUAAGAUAGUCCAGGUUUGCAUCCCGCUUGUUGAAAUCUUCCUCAAUUUUGAACUCGGAUAGUAAAGUCUGAUGAAUGUUACCCGUGUUUGUACCAGCUCAUAAUCCUUGGGACCAUCGCAAUGACUGUCUUCCUGCGUACGGAGAUGCACCGGGGCUCAGUCGAGGAUGGAGUGAUCUACAUGGGUGCGAUGUUCCUCGGCCUGGUCACGCAUUUGUUCAAUGGAUUCGCCGAGCUCGCCAUGAGCAUUGCAAAGCUGCCCAUAUUCUACAAGCAGAGGGACCUGCUCUUCUAUCCAUCAUGGGCGUAUGGAUUGCCUACAUGGCUUCUCAAGAUCCCGAUAUCAUUUCUGGAGUGUGCCGUGUGGAUCUGCAUGACUUACUAUGUCAUCGGCUUCGAUCCAAACAUCGAAAGGUUCUUCCGCCAUUACCUGCUGCUUGUGCUGAUCAGCCAGAUGGCAUCGGGUCUCUUCCGGGUUCUUGCUGCAUUAGGAAGGGAUAUGGUUGUUGCAGACACGUUCGGGUCAUUUGCUCAGCUUGUUCUUCUGGUUCUCGGUGGCUUCUUGAUAGCUAGAGGUAUGUCGAAUCUCCCUCCAUUCAGCAUCUGUUCAUGUAGUUUCAACUGUCAGGAACAUCAUGCCGAGUUCCAUUUCUGCAGAUAACAUCAAGGCAUGGUGGAUUUGGGGCUACUGGUGCUCCCCUCUGAUGUAUGCCCAGAACGCCAUAGCGGUGAACGAGUUCCUUGGGCAUAGCUGGAGGAUGGUAAUGCAGAGUUUCCUGGACCCUUGAUCAGUCGACUUUCAGACAGAUAAUUUAUAAAAAUGCCAAUCUUUGCACAGGUUGUUGAUCCGACAGACAGCAAUGACACGCUUGGCGUACAAGUCUUGAAGUCGCGCGGCAUCUUUGUCGACCCAAACUGGUACUGGAUUGGUGUUGGUGCCUUACUUGGGUACAUCAUGCUCUUCAAUGUACUCUUCAUUGUGUUCCUCGACUUGCUUGACCGUGAGUACCUUCUCACCAGCCGUAAAAUGCAUUGAUUCGCGCAUCGUUAACAUCUUACGUUGGCGCUCACAUCCUUCUUCUAUCCACAGCACUUGGAAAGGGCCAAAAUGUUGUUUCUGAAGAGGAACUGAUGGAGAAGCAUGUGAACCGCACCGGAGAAAAUGUAGAGUUGCUGCUUCUUGGAAACGAUACCCAGAAUUCACCUUCCAAUGGUCAGUAGAAAUUCUUGCAUAGACUGCAUCAAGGAACGCAUUUCCACCGCUGCAUCAUUGUGACAAGUGUAACAAAUGCAGGAGGAGGAGAAAUCACUGGCGCUGACACCAGGGAGAGGGGAAUGGCACUUCCAUUUACUCCCUUGUCAAUCACCUUCGACAAUAUCAGAUAUUCUGUAGACAUGCCUCAGGUAAGCAUAACCAAGAAGUUCUAUCCCGGGUUCAACGCAGCGGCAGCUGGUACUAAUGACAGAUACUAAUUGUGAUGCACAAAUCUUUGACAGGAAAUGAAAGACAAAGGUAUUACUGAAGACCGGCUAGUGCUCCUGAAAGGCGUAAGUGGAGCUUUCAGGCCAGGAGUUCUUACAGCAUUGAUGGGCGUCAGCGGGGCGGGAAAGACCACUCUGAUGGAUGUAUUGGCGGGACGGAAAACUGGCGGUUACAUUGAAGGAGACAUCAGCAUCUCUGGAUACCCGAAGAACCAAGAAACUUUUGCCCGGAUUGCUGGUUACUGUGAGCAGAAUGAUAUCCAUUCUCCACAUGUCACCGUUUAUGAAUCGCUCGUGUACUCGGCGUGGCUCCGAUUGUCCCCUGAUGUAGACUCAGAAGCAAGACAGGUAAGUUGAAUGACCUUUGUUCUGCUAGUUCAUAAGUAGCUCAUCGUAAAAUACACACUGCAACUGAUCUCUGGAGUACUGAACCGAUCCAUUUUAUGAAUUCAGAUGUUUGUGGAACAAGUCAUGGAACUCGUCGAGCUGACAUCACUGAGGGGAGCAUUGGUGGGACUGCCAGGAGUGAAUGGUUUAUCCACCGAACAGCGUAAAAGGCUCACCAUUGCUGUUGAGCUUGUUGCCAACCCCUCCAUCAUAUUCAUGGAUGAACCAACUUCUGGACUGGACGCAAGGGCAGCUGCCAUCGUGAUGAGGGCGGUCAGAAACACAGUAGACACAGGAAGAACAGUUGUCUGCACCAUCCACCAGCCCAGCAUCGACAUAUUUGAAGCUUUUGAUGAGGUAAAUUGCAGCAAGGACAAGGAAAUUGUGUGAUCUGUAGAAGUAUUGAUUGUCUCAUGUGAGAACUCACUUGUUAUUCUUGAAUAUUUACAGCUGUUCCUGAUGAAACGGGGAGGAGAAGAAAUUUAUGUCGGCCCCUUGGGACACAACUCAUGCCAUCUCAUCGAUUACUUUGAGGUGAGGCUCCUUACUGAUCUAUUGAACAGAGUGAUUUCCAAUUUAUGGCAUGCAUGAUGAACCUUGCCUGGUGCCCCAAAUGUAGGGCAUACAAGGUGUGAAGAAAAUCAAGGAUGGAUACAACCCUGCAACCUGGAUGUUAGAAGUGACCACCCUAGCUCAAGAAGAUGCCUUGGGUGUCAACUUUGCCGACGUAUACACGAAUUCUGACCUAUACCGGUAUGUUGCAGUCUCAGAACGUUGUUUCGUUUUUCUUCUUCUCUUGAUAGUGUUUCAGUUUGUUUAUAUACUUAUCUAUCAUUUCACUGAUUCAAAUGCAACAUGUCAGGAGGAACAAAGCUUUGAUAAGUGACCUAAGCACACCUCCACCUGGAUCGACGGACCUGUACUUCUCAAAACAGUACGCGCAGUCCUUCUUCACACAAUGUGUUGCUUGCCUGUGGAAGCAGCACAAGUCAUAUUGGAGAAAUCCAUCAUACACUGCAACUAGAAUCUUCUUCACGACGGUUAUUGCCCUCAUCUUUGGCACCAUCUUUUUGAACCUAGGACAGAAAGUGUAAGUACCUUCGCUAACAACUCCAGAUGAGACACUGAUACAUAAUGACACAGCGUGAGAAAGAAACUUAUUUGUAAUUCAUCUUUCCUUUCAGCGGCAAGAGACAAGACCUGUUCAAUUCUUUGGGUUCCAUGUAUGCAGCAGUUAUUUUCAUUGGAAUUCAGAAUGGCCAAUGCGUUCAACCUAUUGUCGACGUCGAGCGAACAGUUUUUUACCGAGAAAAGGCUGCUGGGAUGUACUCUGCUCUACCCUAUGCUUUUGCACAGGUAUUGCUCGUCGCAGAAGAUUUGAAAAGAAAAGAUUGCACUUUUCUUCCUUCAACAUUUUUUUUGAAAUAAAAUAUAAUGAUUUUAACCAUUCAACAGGUUUUCAUUGAGAUCCCACACGUCUUCCUGCAGACCAUUAUUUAUGGUCUGAUUGUUUACAGCUUGAUUGGCUUGGACUGGGCAUUUAUGAAAUUCUUUUGGUACAUGUUCUUCAUGUUCUUCACUUUCCUGUACUUCACAUUUUAUGGGAUGAUGGCAGUCGCCAUGACGCCAAACAGUGACAUUGCUGCCAUAGUGGCAACUGCAUUCUAUGCGGUAUGGAAUAUCUUUGCCGGCUUCCUAGUCCCCCGAUCAGUAAGUGUCCUAUGACUGGUUUAUUUGUAGUGAACCAACCUCUACAUUUUCUCCAUACUGUCGAUGCUAAACUAUAUGUGUCUUGUCUGGCUUGCAGAGGAUACCAAUAUGGUGGAGGUGGUACUCAUGGGCAUGCCCGGUGGCAUGGACACUCUAUGGGCUUGUUGCCUCACAAUAUGGAGACAUCGCAGACGUUAGGCUGGAGGAUGGGGAACAAGUGAACGCUUUCAUCCACAGAUUCUUUGGAUUCAGGCAUGAUUACGUAGGUUUUAUGGCUGUCGGUGUUGUAGGAUUCACUGUUCUCUUCGCUUUCGUUUUUGCCUUCUCUAUCAAAGUCUUGAACUUCCAAAGAAGAUAGAGAGGCUAUCUGAAAACUGCUUCAGAUCGCUAUAGCUAAUAGAGUGUUGGCACUUGGCAGUAGGGAACACAGGAAAGUAAGUUUAGAGGCACAAAUAUUUGGUAUCCGUUUCUCAGGUAAUUAACAUAUUUCUUAGAUCAGCAGUUCAAUUAUGUAUAUAUACUGUAUAUUGUAACUAUCAGAGAAGGGCCUGUUGUAAUUUUGUAAAAUUGCCAAAAGUUCAAAUAUUUUUAUGCAAGAUUGUCUAUCUUUGGUUCAGUUGAUACAUCAUACGACCAUAUAUGGCCGUAUGCAUCUUUCUGAUGCAGAGGCCGGGGCAAACCCCUUUUCGAAAAAAAAGUUGAUACAUCAUACAUGUUCCCUUCGAAAAGUCCAUUACCAACUAAAAUGGCCUAAAAGAUGACUUGGCUUGUAUAAUUCCGAAGAAUAUUGUGGGAAACUUAACAAAUUUCCAGUGACAACUAGCUUUGGAAACUGGGUAGUAUAAUCAAGAUUUGUGAAUGGUGAUGCGUUGUGUUUGUGUUCAGCAUACAAAUUACUCGUUCACAAGUACUCCCUCCGUAAACAAAUGUAAGACGUUUUGGCAGUUUAAAUAUCAUCGUAGCACUUAAAAAAUAGAGCCUUAAUGAAACUUAAAGAAGAAGAACUCGCAUUUCAACGACUAACAGGGUGCUGCUAUCUGGCUGAAUGUAUUCACAUUUUCAAUUGUCGAGGUUCUCAAAUUCAGUUACUAUCUUAUUUCAACAACUAACAGGGUGUAAAGCUAUUGUGUCUCAAAUUGUUUUGUUUAUAUUUCAUCAUAGCCCUAAGAAAUCGAAAUGGUAGCAUAAGACUAAUGCUUGUAGAAUCGAGACUAGCUAAUGAACUCUGAGAACAGGCAUCCACUAGUCCGCCAGAAUCUGCAGAUUUAAGUACGGACUACCUGAAGGAGUGUCGCGGUCCCCUGCAACCCAAUCGAUCCCACCGCCGAAUCAACAUCGAAUCCUCCUGCCUCCAUCACGGGCGCAGCAGCACCUCAACCUCGUCUGCUUCAGAGCAAAGCUCCCCCUUCCGGCCCUACCCGGCUCCCCCCCGCGGGCUCCGGCGGCCGCCGCUCCUAGUCCGCAGGGUGCCUUGGAAUCCGCGCGAGCCCCCGUGGGAGGUUUUUUUUUUUACAGCGCCAUUUCCUUUUGGGAUAAAUUGCAGUUUCGUUCCAGCCGGCUGAUAACUCGUUGACGUCGGACGCCUCGUUUGCCUUCCACGUGUCCCUUACACCGCACGAUUUGAAUCACUCUAAUACAGUGGCGGUGCUACUAGGAGUCAAAGCAAGUGAUGUCAAAGCUAUGUACAUGUGGAUAGCAUAUCAGGUGCUACCGACCUGCCCAUAUUACCAUGCCACGGAACAAUGGCACCUGUCAAAGCAUAAAUGAAGGGAUAUGAAUAGGAUGCAACGUCUGGUGUUCUUUUCUAUACAGCCCCUUAAAAGAUGCUCCACUUCUCAAAUUUUUUCUACUCUAUGGCAUGGAUACUAAGGACACUCAAAAAUUGGCCAAAAUUAGAUGAAAACAAAAAUAAUAAUCUAGAGGCAUCCCUACUAGCCCUGGACAAAACAGAUUCAGCAGCAAUAUCACAGUCCCCGCAUAGGCCCUCGUGGUCUAUCACCGCAUCGAGUGGAGCAACUGCAUGAUAUGUGAAUUUGAAAUCUAUGUUGCAUGCACGCCUUCAUUUGAGUAACAUGGACAUUCAGGAGCAAGAUUGAGAAACAAAAGGAGAAAUGAACACCAACUUGAACUAAAACAGAAAUAGAUAGCUCAAAUUGUACAUGUGCUUUUUGCGCACCGCACUUGAUUGGUCGCUCUUCCUCGUCUUCCAUGUUUCCAAAGGAAAGCGAUUUGAUAGAAGGGACUAGAAUGGGGAAGGACCUGGAAUGAGAAGAAGACCAAAUAUAAGAAUGCAAAUAUAAAUGUGCCACGGACUAGAACGUCCCUUCGAAAUAUUUCACUUUCUCAAGGUGGUUCCUAAACAUUAGAUAAGGGGUGCUUCCACACCAAUCUUGUUUGUCCGAUAUGAAUCCAUUGGUUGUCAUUGCACCGUAGCAUGGGAAACAUCCGUAUCACGGGAUAUGUUCCCUGUACACAUGCAUAUACGUAGGCAAACUAUUAUAAAACAUAGGUGUAUUAGUGCUGCUAAUCCAACUUUUGUGAUGUCACCUGACAUCAUAUACAACAUGUAGCACCGACACUAACUCUAAUGUACUGGCUCUUAACUAAACAUGUCAUAGAUAGUGGAUUUUUUUAGAUAAUUAUCAAAGUGCACUGUCUCUUACUUCUGUAUUACAUUUAAUCGGAUUAAGGAUUAUAUUUGCAUCUUAAUCUUGUGGCCUAGUGGUAGAAAGAAAGAAACAAGUGAAUAAUAGGAAGAUAAGCCAUAACAAAUUAAAUCAUUAAUUACACUGCACCCAAACGAGCUAAGGGUCGUAUAUCCAGUAACUUAUUCCCUGACUUCAUAAACUCAUCGAUCUUAUUUUUCAUCGCCUCAACCUCUCUUUAUCUCUUGAGCAUCUCCAUUGACACCUUCCUUCCAUGAAGCCAACCCAUCCUAGAUGAUGAGUGGGAGUUCUAGGUACUCUUUCCUCUCCAUCACCACCAUCUUCCUCACCGCCGUCCAUCUCGGAAGAAAAAUGUUCCAUGACUUCCCAUGCAUUGGAGGAGCGUCAUCAUUCCUCGAUUUCCACUUGUCGUUGCUUUCCAACACAUUCUAAUAAUGUUGAAGGCCAAAUAUUUAUCCUACAACUUGGCCAUUUACCGAUACCUAUGUUGGAUAAUCUCAUCCUACAACAUAUAAAUGUUCAAAGUGUUGCAAAUGUGAUGUUGAAAUACCUAUACGGUAUUUCCAUGUGUGUACAUUGUUGUAUUCAUCCUGGAAUUGAUGUAAGCCGGUUCAGGUUGUUGUACAAAUUGAUCCCAUCUCAAGUUAUCGUAGGGAUCAAGUCUCGCACAACUUGAACCGACCUCCGCAAAUCUCUCAUGUUAUAUACCAAUCCCUUGGGUUAGCAGGUCACGGAGUGCCUCACCCAGAUAAUUUCCUUCUCUGGAAAGCUCAGGUACCCCGUAGAUCAGAGGCACAAGGAUGUUUGGUUACCUUGACGGCACCACCGGAACGAGGUGGAGGUCCAGGAGCCGGAUAAAUCUGGCACAAAGAAGGUAUCAAAUCCGUUGCACGAAAUCUGGAUUUAUCAGGAUCCCUCUCCCGAGAGGUCCUCGCUCAAGUCUCCCAUAUCACCUUUUCUGCACCACUUUGGAAGCUCCUUACAGUGAUGCUUUCGUCUCAAUCUCGUGCCUGAGAAAUUCAACUUCGCACCUUGCUCGCAAAUACAAAGAAGGGGGGAUGACGUCGACUGCAUACUUCACCAAGAUGAAAAGAAUAGCAGAUGAGAUGGAAACCAUCGGGAACAAGGUGGAUGAAGAUGAUCUGAUCUCAGAAAUCCUUGUGGGGCUGGACAACAACUAUAAUCCUUCUGUCUUCUCCAUCUCUGCAAUGACUACUCGUGCAAAUUGUUGUCCUUGUCCCUUGGCAAUUUGUAUGGGAAACUUCUUGUAGAAAAAGGGCGCCCUGAAGCCUAAAAUUAGGCGGGCGAAUAAUCUGCCAAUCAUGCCAACAAAGGGGGGUGGGCGUCUACUUGGGUCCACACUGGAACAAUGGCAACAACUAUGAUGAUCGUGAUGGUGGUACCAGUAGCAGCUACCAAUCCAAAAUGAAGCAAGGCAACAACGGUUCCUAUCCUAGCGGUGGUCAUCCUGGUGGUGGCUACGAGGGUGGGAGCGGCUAUCAUAUUGUAGGCGAAUGUCAAGGCAACAACGGGGGUGAUACUAAAGAGAAGUGCCAGAUUUGUCGCAAAGAAGGUCACAAAGCGUACCACUGUUGGAAAAGGCAUGAUAAGCUCUUUCUAACACCAUCAGUAACCUCGAAGAAGACGACGGACGCAGUGGCAAAAUCCGAUGUUGUGGAUACUAAUUGGUAUGCCGACACCGGGGCAACCGACAACAUCGACGGUGAACAAAGCUAGCUCAUAGUACAUGAUCGCUACAUCGACAAUGAUCAAGUCCAUGCGGUUAACGGAGCAGGUAUGGAAAUAUCACAUGUUGGCUAAACACAUUUUUCUACGCAGGAUCGUCCUUUAUAUCUCAAUAAUGUCUUACAUGUUUCAUCCACAUCCAAAAAAAAAA